CCCUUAGAUGUUCUGGGCCGCACGCGCGCUACACUGACUGACUCAACGAGUUUACAACCUGUGCCGAAAGGUAUGGGUAAUCUUUUGAAAUUCAGUCGUGAUGGGGCUAGAUUAUUGCAACUAUUAAUCUUCAACGAGGAAUUCCUAGUAAACGCAAGUCAUCAACUUGCAUUGAUUACGUCCCUGCCCUUUGUACACACCGCCCGUCGCACCUACCGAUUGAAUGGUCCGGUGAAGCCUCCGGAUUGGCGCGCACCUCGGUGCCGCCGAGAAGUUGGCUAAACCUUACCAUUUAGAGGAAGGUGAAGUCGUAACA
rnacentral:rRNA from 1 species